CUUUUCUUUCGUACCUAUAUCACGCUAUUCAGAAGCAUAAAUGUUUUCUUAUGACUUGCACUAAGCUCGCAUUCAUUUUCCACGUUCGCACAUGGAAUUCAUAUUUUCGUACGUAUGUGUGUUACGCAUAUAUGAUGAUUAUUUGCACCGUUCCAAGCGGUAUCAAAUACGUGUAGGGCGCCUUUAGGCUUCUUUUGCGCAUUGAAAUAAAAUUAA